UCAUGUGUCUUCUCAGUCAUGUUGACACUGGUCUACUACCAGGUCAUGUGUCUUCUCAGUCAUGUUGACACUGGUCUACUACCACGUCAUGUGUCUUCUCAGUCAUGUUGACACUGGUCUACUACCAGGUCAUGUGUCUUCUCAGUCAUGUUGACACUGGUCUACUACCAGGUCAAUGUGUCUUCUCAGUCAUGUUGACACUGGUCUACUACCAGGUCAUGUGUCUUCUCAGUCAUGUUGACACUGGUCUACUACCAGGUCAUGUGUCUUCUCAGUCAUGUUGACACUGGUCUACUACCAGGUCAUGUGUCUUCUCAGUCAUGUUGACACUGGUCUACUACCAGGUCAUGUGUCUUCUCAGUCAUGUUGACACUGGUCUACUACCAGGUCAUGUGUCUUCUCAGUCAUGUUGACACUGGUCUUCUACCAGGUCAUGUGUCUUCUCAGUCAUGUUGACACUGGUCUACUACCAGGUCAUGUGUCUUCUCAGUCAUGUUGACACUGGUCUACUACCAGGUCAUGUGUCUUCUCAGUCAUGUUGACACUGGUCUACUACCAGGUCAUGUGUCUUCUCAGUCAUGUUGACACUGGUCUACUACCGGGUCAUGUGUCUUCUCAGUCAUGUUGACACUGGUCUACUACCGGGUCAUGUGUCUUCUCAGUCAUGUUGACACUGGUCUUCUACCAGGUCAUGUGUCUUCUCAGUCAUGUUGACACUGGUCUACUACCACGUCAU